CAGGUUGACGUCACCAAUUGCACAGAGCGAGCCGAAGAUGGCGACACAAUAUUACUCACAUACAACGGUACGUUUGAAGAUGGCGUCUCGUUCGAUGCAACCAAGCCGGGUGCUUCAAUGAAUCUGACCUUAGGCCCUCACUCAUUCAGGGAUUUAACCUCGGACUCUAUGAUGCCUGUAUCGGACAAACUCGACGGAUAUUUGUUCCUUAUCGUCUUGGAUACGGUGAAGCCGGGGCAGGCGGAGUCAUCCCACCUCGAACCGACAUCAUCUUCCUCGUCGUAGUACUCGACAUCUUCAAACCGGACUACGUGGGGUUCAAUUACGAGAACACGACCGAGCUCAUAGACAUAGACGACUUCGACGAUGAAACUGAUAUCGACCACGGGAAAGGGAAAGGCGACCGCGACGGCAAAGGACGAAAUAAUCACGUCAGGAGACGUCCUCAUCGUGGAAGACCUUUCUGGUGGUACGUGCAGUUCCUGGCCAUUCCCGUCCUCAUCAUCCUACUCAUCGUCGACGCCUAUUAUCUGUACAAGAUUUACUUUCCACACGGUCGGGUCAAGUUCUACAAAGUCAGGGACCAUGAACCUAACGAUAUAGUCAACACUCUCUGAAAUACAUCCAUGUUUUCUUAUCUUAUAGGGGGCCAUGCCUGUCUUGGCUAGGCACUGAUCUACAGCCUUGUACUCUAUGUGCUUAUCAAGAGUUGCCUCCACAGUGCAUCACUCACGGUGCCGUUGUCCUGACUUUUUUUCUUGAUUUAAAGUGGCUAUAACUUAUAUCCGACGGCGCAAUAGAGAGUCUGUUCAAUCCUCAAGUCUGAUGUCUA